CCUGACGCAGCAACGCCGCGUGAGGGAAGACGGCCCUUGGGUUGUAAACCUCUUCAGCAGGGACGAAGAUGACUGUACCUGCAGAAGAAGCGCCGGCUAACUACGUGCCAGCAGCCGCGGUAAUACGUAGGGCGCAAGCGUUGUCCGGAUUUAUUGGGCGUAAAGAGCUCGUAGGCGGUCUGUCGCGUCGGAUGUGAAAACCCGGAACUCAACUCCGGGCCUGCAUUCGAUACGGGCAGACUUGAGUACUGCAGGGGAGACUGGAAUUCCUGGUGUAGCGGUGGAAUACGCAGAUAUCAGGAGGAACACCGGUGGCGAAGGCGGGUCUCUGGGCAGAAACUGACGCUGAGGAGCGAAAGCGUGGGGAGCGAACAGGAUUAGAUACCCUGGUAGUCCACGCCGUAAACGGUGGGCACUAGGUGUGGGGACCAUUCCACGGUCUCUGCGCCGCAGCUAACGCAUUAAGUGCCCCGCCUGGGGAGUACGGCCGCAAGGCUA
rnacentral:rRNA from 1 species